rnacentral:rRNA from 2 species
CGACCCCAGGUCAGGCGGGGCCACCCGCCGAGCUUAAGCAUAUCAAUAAGCGGAGGAGGAGAAACUUACGAGGAUUCCCCUAGUAACGGCGAGCGAACCGGGACCAGCCCAGCUUGAGAAUCGGGCGGCCGCGCCGCCCGAAUUGUAGUCUGGGGAAGCGUCCUCAGCGGCGGACCGGGCCCGAGUCCCCUGGAAAGGGGCGCCCGGGAGGGUGAGAGCCCCGUCCGGCCCGGACCCUGCCGCACCACGAGGCGCUGUCGGCGAGUCGGGCUGUUUGGGAAUGCAGCCCCAAUCGGGCGGUAAAUUCCGUCCAAGA